ACGCCUUAAACAUAACCCUACGAUUAAUACUUGCUGACGCUAAUGUUUCUGCCAUUUCAUUGUCAUGUUGCUGUGCUUUUGAAAAUGCUAUCUCACCCACACAGGCUAGUCUCAUUUCCAUAUCUGUGAAUGUAGUUUGUUGCGACCAGAAUCUCCUAUCUUUGUUCAAUACCCAAUUAUACGUCACCAGUGACCCAAUUUCAACAAUAAUCAAACGAGUUCCCCUCCACCCUAUCUCAAUCUUAUAAUUUAAAACAAUGUAUCAAAGUAUUAGAUUGUUAUUCCUUAUUGGCCUAUAAUUAAUUAUGAUGCAUAUAUCCCACCAAUAGGAAUUCAUUUUGACAGUUAAGUUAUCUAUUAUUUUUGUAUCAGUCAUUUGCUAAACUUGAUAAAUAAUAAACUCAUGUGGUUUUUUACAAAGCUUUCAUAUAUCUUAAGCUCUAUUUUACUUUUACUCAAUUUCUUUUCUUUUAAUGUUAUCCUCAUUUCAUAUUAUAAAUUAUCUGAAUAAAAGAAGUUAAAGAUUAUCUUUGUUUCAUUAUUGGCCCCUGGACAGCCUCAAAACUUUUGAAAAUUUUAAUUAUACCUUUAAUUUUUUUAAUUAAUUAAAUCUUCAUUUGUUUUUAAUUUAUUGUUGAACAUUUAAAAAUUUUAAUUAGAUUCUUCAAUUUUUUUUUGUAAAUUUUCAUAAAUCUCUAAAAUUUUAAAAAAAAUCUAAAUUUUCAUAAAAUUAGUAUCCUAGAUUUUAGAGAUAAAGCAAUUGAUAGGCCGAUAUAUAAUAAGUAAUCAAGUUUUAAGAGCAAAGAAAUAUAUGAAGAGAAGGCAUACCUCAAAAUCUAAAAAUGUAGCACCUAAACCCUAACUGGAAAAGCUUCCACGUAGUCAAUCACACACAUCCUCAUCUACUUUGAUUCCUUCUUUGGUUGCCUAUUUGGAUUGAUCAACAGUGGCUUAUUGCUUUUUCGCUUGUUUAUGAUAGUUUUUGUACUAUCAAAAAC
rnacentral:lncRNA from 1 species